AACGGCCAUACCAUGCUGAAUAUGCCGGUUCUCGUUAGAUCACCGAAGUCAAGCAGCAUUGGGCGCGGUCAGUACUUGGGUGGGUGACCACCUGGGAACACCGCGUGCCGUAG
rnacentral:rRNA from 1 species